rnacentral:lncRNA from 1 species
CACGCUGAACGCUACUCUUCCAGAUAACUCAGCGCAGGACCCAGAGUGACACGGAGACGAUCUGCUUGCAAUAAGAGUCCUAAAUGCAGCUGUUGGCCUGACAACAAGCGUACGCAACAGAACGCUUGUUUAUCACCGUGCCAACUGAGAUAUGGAAACAUGGACAAGAG